rnacentral:rRNA from 1 species
ACAACUCUUAACGGUGGGUCACUCGGCUCG